AACUGGCAAACUAGAGUGUGAUAGAGAGUGGUAGAAUUUCAGGUGUAGCGGUGAAAAUGCGUAGAGAUCUGAAGGAAUACCGAUGGCGAAGGCAGCCUCGUGGGUCAACACUGACGCUCAUGUACGAAAGCGUGGGGAGCAAACAGGAUUAGAUACCCUGGUAGUCCACGCCGUAAACGAUGUCUACUAGAAGCUCGGAACCUCGGUUCUGUUUUUCAAAGCUAACGCAUUAAGUAGACCGCCUGGGGAGUACGGCCGCAAGGUUAAAACUCAAAUGAAUUGACGGGGGCCCGCACAAGCGGUGGAGCAUGUGGUUUAAUUCGAUGCAACGCGAAGAACCUUACCUACACUUGACAUACAGAGAACUUACCAGAGAUGGUUUGGUGCCUUCGGGAACUCUGAUACAGGUGCUGCAUGGCUGUCGUCAGCUCGUGUUGUGAGAUGUUGGGUUAAGUCCCGCAACGAGCGCAACCCCUAUCUUUAGUUGCUAGCAGGUAAUGCUGAGAACUUUAAGGAGACUGCCGGUGAUAAACCGGAGGAAGGUGGGGAGGACGUCAAGUCAUCAUGGCCCUUACGUGUAGGGCUACACACGUGUUCCAAUGGCGCAUACAGAGUGCUGCGAACUCGCGAGAGUAAGCGAAUCACUUAAAGUGCGUCGUAGUCCGGAUUGGAGUCUGCAAUUCGACUCCAUGAAGUCGGAAUCGUUAGUAAUCGCGUAUCAGAAUGACGCGGUGAAUACGUUCCCGGCCCUUGUACACACCGCCCGUCACACCAUGGGAGUGGGUUGCUCCAGAAGUAGAUAGUCUAACCCUCGGAGGAC
rnacentral:rRNA from 1 species